ensembl:ncRNA lncRNA:CR44779 long non-coding RNA:CR44779
AAUAACUGUGUUCUAUUGUAGCGUGUGUAUUGUGUGUAUUGAAACUAAGAUGCGCAUUUAGUGCGAUCAAAGUGUUAAUGUUAAUUUUAAUGUGCGUUUCUUGGAGCGAUUCAAUGCGACGGACAUCUAAGCGGUGGAGCAGAUGAUGGUGUGUUCUUGGGCAAGGUGUCGUCGUGAAGUAAAGGAGACCCAUCAUUCUCAGCGCUGACUCUCUAUUUCUAAGUCGCCAGUCUAAGCAAUACCUGUCACGAGCCGAACGAACGAGCAACCAGCAAUUGUAUUCUACAGAUGCAACAUACAAUGGUUGGCGACUUACGCGACUGGCUGGCUGAUAAGUUGCGCAAUCCGCUUGCGUCAUCCCGAGAUAAAGACGGAGUUUAAAUCGGUGUGGAGUGCACGACAAUGCCUUGACCGACAGCCAUGCCACCGCGUGCUAUCUGCAUCUCGCACCCCAAACUCCAAUCGGUUGGAUCUGUAGUAUCUGUAUCUUCUUUUUUUUCGCAGGGGUACCUAUUAUGGCAGUGGUAGUGGUUGGGGUCUCGGGGGGAAUGGGGCGGUAUCGGGAGAAUCGAGGGGUCACAACACAACCCGCAAACAUGGCCAUGUGUGACAGGGCCAACGCAAUUGAGAAACAAUUUCGCAGAGGAGCAAAUCAACGUUUAACCAGAUGCGACAGACACACACACAAAAAAGGAGACGGAGGCCCAAAACUUUGACUGCACGUUGUCUAUAUAAAUGCGACACGAACUGUUUAGUUUCGACUGAUGUCGCUGCCGUGGCUGCCAUCAUUGUUGCAGUCGCAGUUGCUGCAGCAUGCCACUGAAAUCAGUGCUGCAUGCUGCAUGCUGCACGCCCAAGAAACCCACUGCAAACCGUGUCCGAGCAUCGUUCCAAGAGUCUGCUCGGUGUUUAAAUUUAAGUCUCAGUUUGUGUUGGCGUGUGCACUCCGUUUAUCUGAAGCCAGCCACCACAGUGCACUGCGAGAAAGCGAGGCGAUCGGAAAGGUAAAAAACAAUUUAGUAAAUUGUAAACGGAGAGACGGCUGCUGAAUAUCGAUUGAGCUUAAAAUGCUUGCUAUCAUAAGUAAUGUUCAAAUCACAAUGCCCUACCCUUUUCUUGAAGUGCAUGUCGGCCAAUGUGGAUUUUUGCGUGUUUGAUUUUCCUGUCACGUUCCAGCUAACAACAUAAGGAAGCAGCCGAAUGCUAGGCAGUCUUUGUGCUCAUCCCUCCCCCGGUUUUCCGAUUUUCCGACUCCCCGAUUCCUUGGUUUGUGUCUGCGGCAGUUCCCUGCGCGACAGUCAGUCAGUCAUUCAAGUCGCUAUACAUAUUGUUGGACCCAGUCUCGUCUCGAAUUCGGAUCUGGAUUCAGACCUUAGACUGGAGACAAGUCGGGGCACGCAACCAAGCCGCCGCCGCCGCCGCCGUGCCAACUCCGUAAGUUGUCAGCGCCAAUUUGAAUGGCACGUGAGAUGGGAGGGAAAGGGAAAGGGGGAGAGAGAGAUUCAAGGAAGGAUAGAUGCGAUAUGGGACGGCGUAUCUAGAAGUUCGUCUCGCUGUCACUCAGGCCGCUGACUUUGAUUGCAAUGCGCCAAGGAUGCCUUCAAAUCAGAUUCAGGAUCAGACUACGAAUACGAUUCCCUGCUGCUGAUGCUGGCUGAUGCUGAUGCAUCCUCAAUCCGGUCGUUGUCGCUUGAACUAACAUUGCUGAAUGGAAGUCGCAGUCGAAUUCUCAGCUUCUGCCCCAGCUGCUGCAGCCCGCUUAAUGUGGCGGCAACAAGUCAAUAGAUUCCGUUGCAAGGUGCUAAGCCGAUAGAUGGGUAGUGGGGAAAGGGGAAUGGGAAAUGGGAAAUGGGAAAGGGGUGUGAGGAGAAGAAGCAGAAGCCAGGUACCGCUGCAAGUAUGUAUAACGUUGUCUACUGACGUGAGACAAUUACGUGAGCAAAUUGCAAAAUAUUUGCCUGGGUGAAUGCGACAUGUGAGACAUUCGAUCGAAGGCAUGCUGCACAGAUAAGGGACUUGGGCGAGCGAUUAAAUCAAUUAUACGGAAAUUAUGAAAACUCAAUUUGCAGGAAAAUUCAAGUGAUCUAGGGCAUCACGCCAACAGCUCAGCCCCAUUGCCCUUCAUCUCCAUCGCCUAAUCUCGGCGAGAACAGCGAGGCUAAUAAGCCAUAAAAUAUCCAGAAAUUACGUUAACUACGUAAAGAACCUAGGAAACUGAACGCAAUUACUCCUCGUUUCAAUAUAAUACGGCGACGUGACACAUUUACGUGAGUAGGUUACGCGACGUAGCCGGAAUUCAUUCCAUCCCAGUUGAGAAUGGAGAAUGGAGAACGGAGAACGGAAAACAGAGAGCAGGCAGCUUUCCCGGAAGGCAUUACAAUGGCCGUACCGUGCUACUAUCUACGGCCGGACAGCUAUACGUAUGUACCUUUUUACGGAACGCAAGGCGCAGGGAUGGCAGGAUAACGGGAUGGCGGGAUAACGGCAUGGGCGGCAACGUAAGCAAACAGUGCCGGCAAAAAGCAAACAACGGAAAGUGAGAAGUGCCACAAAAACGGCAGCAAAUGGCUGCCACUCGCAGUUGCAAUAGCACCAAAAGCAAAGCAAUAGCAAUGGCAAUGGCAAUAGGAAUAGCACUGGAAACGGCAACAAGGGCCGGCGACAAACAAAGGCAACAGCAAAGUCGCCAAAAAGGUGGGGCUGCGGCCAGGGGCGUGGCAUAGGGGGCUUGGGGGGGGGGGGGGCGGUGGGACGGUGAUGUUGGGUGGAUGAAUAAGCGUAACCAACUUGGUGGGUCAAAAAUACACAGUGGAAAUGAAGUCAUGCACUUAAUUGGUCGAUUUUAAAGGACCCAGAUUCCUGGUCCUCGCGGUCCUCGCGGUCCUCGCCUGCACUCUACUAGUAUAUUUCCCAUUGUAAUGGGUAACAUUUAGGCUAUCCGUUGAUGUUAUAUGCUUAGCUAAUUCGAUAGACUUUAGAUUGCUUUAAAUUCAAUUUCAAUAAUUCAGAGUAGGAAUAUGGCUUUUGUAAUAUGUUGGCCAUUCUGUAGGCCAGACUCUCAGAUCCGCACGGUGUGGUUCGCUCGGUUUUGGUCUCCAUUUGAUGGCGACUCUUUGGUUUGGUUUGGUUUUCAGUUUUCAGUUUUCCUUUUUCUGUUUUCUGCUUUCUCCUUCUUGUUCUUGUUCUGGCCAUACGAUGUUUUUUUCGCCCUUUUGUAGCUUUGAAAGGCACAAAGCCGAGCGAACCACUAGGAACCAGUGCCAGUAACCACCGCCUGGCAGAACCACCUUGUGACCGAGCCAACUGCCUCAAUUUGCAUAUGGAAUUUAUGCUUUUGAUGACGCGGGCGACGCCGUCCAAAGUCAACUGCAUGUUAAUGAAACCCGAAUGCAUAAGUAAGCCCCCUUUCCUUUCCUCUCUUCAUUUUCCAUUUCCCAGCUAUACAGUGAGAAAUUGAGAACCAAACCGUUCGAUUCUCAUCGCAAAAUCGCUUUUCCCCAUAUAAAAAUGAACCUAUGCUAUAAUUUAGUAAUAAUAAUAAUAAUAAUUUAGAUUAGUUUAUUAGUCAGAAGGACAGAUUCUUUUCUACAGACUUGUUUAAUAUUAAUGGACCAGGAAAACAUGCUAUUGUUAAGCAGUUUGGCCUUUUUUUGCUCUGUGCAGCAUUGAAAGAAAACCCCGCGCAAACAGCUGCCUCACCGACCCCUCUUUUAUCGCGACUUUUUUUUCAUGCCGCCGUGCAUUUUUGAAAAGAGAAAAGUUCAAGGAUUGCUGCAGAGACGUCGUGCGCUUAGAUUCUGUGCAGAUUUGGGUGCCCCACAGUGGCCAGGUAACCCCAAAAAGCAACAAUCACCACAGCAACAACGGCAGCCUAAAGCCUAAAGCCAAAAGCCAAAAGUCGAACCACGGACAUCGAAAACAUGCAACGAGGUUGGACAUUUUGCUUUUUGAGAACACUAGGCGGCCAGCAGAAAGAAUUGCUUUAGAAUCAAAUGCCAUGGAAAAUGGAAUAGUCUAGUAAGUAGAUUGCCUAACCAGCAUAUACCACGACAGUCUUGGGUGGCAAGGAAAAUAUUAUCCAGAAUCUAAGUUCGGCUCAUAGUCUCACCUAUGAAUCAAUCCUAACGAUCGUCCUUUUGUGGAGCUGACUGGGGCAUAGUUAAAUAAAUGGCAAGAUACUGUCACUGUUAGUCCGCAAGAAAUGUCAAGGUUUAACCCAUCAAUCGAUUAUAUUGCAUUGUUCAAGAUGUAGAACCACCACGCUAACAAUUCUGCAGAUUAGAUUUGCUGGCUGGCUAAGUUGCAAGAUCUCUUCUAAGUGAGAACCUGAGACUCGGAGGACUGGACUGGAAGGGAGACCAGAUACCAAAGACCAAAGACCUCCCCCAAUGCGAUGCCUUUCACUUGCAACUCGCAACUGGCAAAUGCGCCGAUGGUAAAGUAAAAUGGCUUUAUGUUGUGUCUCUUAUUUCCCAGUGUCAACUUUGAAAUGUAACGGACUGUGGUGGGGAAGGCAUUCGUCACUUGGCGUUCGGCUCGCUGCACGACAAACAUCCAAUUAAGCUAUAAAAAUCUUAAUUUAAUUAUUUGCCACACGAACAAAGCCGCAGAACGAACGAGCGCCGGAUGAUGGAGAUUUGAGUUGGAGUUAGAGUUAGAGUUUGCAGAUGGAGAUGACGUUGGCGGUGACGAUGGCGAGGCGAUGCAGUUGAAGUUGGCUUUCAGAAGACGGAAUAUAUAUGGCACUGGUGGUGGUCGAGAAGGAGCCAAAGCCAAAGCCAGAGCCAGAGCCAGAGCCAGAGCCAGAGCAUUUGCCAUUCACAUCCCCAUUCGCAUUUUCAGUUUGGUGAACGAGUGCAGCGCGAGAUGACGACAACGAUUUAUGGUGGCCGGUUUUUCUUCAUUUGGGCCCUGCUCCGAGCACCAAGCACCGAGCUCCAAACUCCAAACUCCAAACACCGAGCAAUGGCAAAAAGCAAGAAGCCAAGGCAAGAGCAAAAGCAAAAGGCAAAAAGCACAGAAAUCAAAUAGCAAGAGCACGAGCUGCCAAGCAGCCAAGCAAGCGAGCAAACGAGCAACAAGGCAGCAGGCAGGCAACAUGCAUUUUUCAUGAAUUAGUUCACAUAUAAAAGUCAAAUGCAGCACCGGAGUUGGAAAAACGGAAAAACGGGGCGGGCGAAACAACGGGAGUUGGCUGGCUGGCUGGAGGCACAUAAACAAAUUUUGUGGUCGUGGCACACACCGUGAAAAAAACCGACAAAAUAGUACAACCCACAACGAGAAUCAAAAGAGCAGAGAAGGUGGCCGAAGGGAGUUCCUGGAUAUUCCGGCAUUCCGGCAUUGACGAGUUAAAUGGCAAUCUAUACCAAUGCAGACAUAAGAAACGCAUUCCAAUCCGAAGUUGCAAAGCUGUGGCACCUGCUUAUGUUGAUUCUUCGCCUGCCCCUUUGUCAUCUUUUUGUGUCAUAAAUUAGACGAUGCAGGAGAGGAGGAGUCAGCUGAAUUCGGUUAACAAUUUCAGGGAGGAGAUAUUGUGCAGCCGAUAAUGCGAAUAGCUUCUGGGCGAAAAUACAUUUUGAAUGAAAGGUCCGGUCCGGCCGUAGCGAAUCGAAAUCAAAGCGAACUUCCCGCCCGCCUGCUCGCCUGACUGACUGACCCAAAAUCGGGAAAUCAACCUGUAUCUCCCUGGCAUCCAGAUCCAAGAGGCAAAAGCUCAGUCAGCAGGAUAAAGCGAAGCGUUUAAUGCGAGCUUGUUGUUUGGCUGGUCCUUGGUUGGCUGGUUGGUUUGUUUGUUGUUAUAUUUGUUGUUGGCAUGCCCGUUGGCCAUUUUACGAAGCCAGCCACUUGACACAACAAGAGAAGAGGGGAGAACGUGAUGGCUAAAGGCGGGGGGCAGGAGUUUGUUUAGGUAGGAGUGCACGGUGAACGGAACAUUGAGCAAAUUAAAAUAUAAUAAACAGGCUUAAACACACAAACAUAUACAGGCAUAUGACUGCGUAUGCUUUUCUUUUUAUGGCAAACAAGCCAACAAACAGAGCCGAAACUCAUUUCAGGUCUGGAAAAUAGAUGCGAAAUGUUAUUCGGCUAGGAAAUGACCGAGUUGAAAACGGGGCUUACCGCAUCUGGACACAUGCCAUCGAUCUAAUUUCAUUCUAUUUUUUAAAUAAUUGUAGAUCUUAAAUAAACUACAAGAGCGAAGUAACAAAAUGCAACAUCUUUUUUUGUAAGUAAGAAUUCCAAGUAAGAAUUGUACUAUUUGUGUCACCGACAGCUUAAGAUUCCCCAUGCCACCACCUACUUAAUACUGGCCUGCAAAAGCUCACCUGAUGGAUGCCACGUGCCACGCAGGCUAAGGAACUUUGAGGCAACCGGCCGUCUGAUGCUGCUGCUGAGGACCUCGAUGUUGCUGCUGUGGUGCUGCAAGGAAAUCCGGGGUAGAGUUUAUUAAAAAAAAAAAAUACAAAUAAAUUGAAGCCAAAGGCAGGGCAUUGUACUUUGGUCUAACCUUCAAGUGUUUU